AGUGAACGCUGGCGGUAGGCCUAACACAUGCAAGUCGAACGGCAGCACAGUAAGAGCUUGCUCUUACGGGUGGCGAGUGGCGGACGGGUGAGGAAUACAUCGGAAUCUACUUUUUCGUGGGGGAUAACGUAGGGAAACUUACGCUAACACCGCAUACGACCUACGGGUGAAAGCAGGGGAUCUUCGGACCUUGCGCGAUUGAAUGAGCCGAUGUCGGAUUAGCUAGUUGGCGGGGUAAAGGCCCACCAAGGCGACGAUCCGUAGCUGGUCUGAGAGGAUGAUCAGCCACACUGGAACUGAGACACGGUCCAGACUCCUACGGGAGGCUGCAGUGGGGAAUAUUGGACAAUGGGCGCAAGCCUGAUCCAGCCAUACCGCGUGGGUGAAGAAGGCCUUCGGGUUGUAAAGCCCUUUUGUUGGGAAAGAAAAGCAGCAGGUUAAUACCCCGCUGUUCUGACGGUACCCAAAGAAUAAGCACCGGCUAACUUCGUG
rnacentral:rRNA from 1 species